rnacentral:rRNA from 1 species
CGCGUAGGCGGUCUUGUCGGUCAGAUGUGAAAGCCCGGGGCUCAACCUUGGAAGUGCAUUUGAAACAGCAAGACUUGAAUACUGGAGAGGAGAGCGGAAUUCCUGGUGUAGAGGUGAAAUUCGUAGAUAUCAGGAGGAACACCGAUGGCGAAGGCAGCUCUCUGGACAGAUAUUGACGCUGAGGCGCGAAGGUGUGGGUAGCGAACAGGAUUAGAUACCCUGGUAGUCC